UACAGAGGGUGCGAGCGUUUAAUCGGAAUUACUGGGCGUAAAGCGUGCGCAGACGGUCAUGUAAGUCGGGUGUGAAAGCCCCGGGCUCAACCUGGGAAUUGCAUUCGAGACUGCAUGGCUAGGGUGCGGAAGAGGGAAGCGGAAUUUCCGGUGUAGCGGUGAAAUGCGUAGAUAUCGGAAGGAACACCAGUGGCGAAAGCGGCUUCCUGGUCCAGCACCGACGUUCAGGCACGAAAGCGUGGGGAGCAAACAGG
rnacentral:rRNA from 1 species